rnacentral:rRNA from 1 species
UACACACGUGCUACAAUGGUGGUACAAAGAGAAGCCAACUCGCGAGAGCGCGCCAAUCUACAAAAAGCCAUCCUCAGUUCGGAUUGGAGUCUGCAACUCGACUCCAUGAAGUUGGAAUCGCUAGUAAUCGCGGAUCAGCAUGCCGCGGUGAAUACGUUCCCGGGCCUU